AGGGCUGUAGCUCCAAUUGGUUAGAGCACCGGUCUCCAAAACCGGGUGUUGGGGGUUCGAAUCCCUCCAGCCCUGCCA
rnacentral:tRNA from 1 species